rnacentral:pre_miRNA from 1 species
CUUGUGCGCCACAAGUAGAUGAAGCUGCCAGCAUGAUCUGAACUCCACGCACCACAUGUGUAUCUUGGUGCUGUGUACUCGAUCUUCAGAUUGAUUACAUGCACGCAUGAGAAACUGUGCAGGCGAUCUGCAGAUCAUCUGGCAGCUUCAUUUUCUCAUGGCAGCACACCGGCC